rnacentral:rRNA from 1 species
UACGAAGGGGGCUAGCGUUGUUCGGAAUCACUGGGCGUAAAGCGCACGUAGGCGGCUUCUUAAGUCAGGGGUGAAAUCCUGGAGCUCAACUCCAGAACUGCCUUUGAUACUGAGUAGCUUGAGUCCGGGAGAGGUGAGUGGAACUGCGAGUGUAGAGGUGAAAUUCGUAGAUAUUCGCAAGAACACCAGUGGCGAAGGCGGCUCACUGGCCCGGUACUGACGCUGAGGUGCGAAAGCGUGGGGAGCAAACAGG